GAGUCCAUAGGACCAUCACUCCCGAUAAAAUUGGAACGAUACAGAGAAGAUUAGCAUGGCCCCUGCGCAAGGAUGACACGCACAAAUCCAUGCCCAUACUUAAGUUAAU
rnacentral:snRNA from 1 species